GAGCUCUUUUCUACUUUGUCAAGUCGGCUCUGUUCUCCUGAGCCCAGAGUCUCCUAUUUAGAUAAAAGGUCCCUGGUACAAAUCCAGCUUCCUAGUCAAGAAGAACAGAGAAUUUGGGCUCAGUGCACACAUGGUGUCCAUCCACAUACAAGCCGCACCACCCCUAAAGCAACUGGCUUCCACCGAGGGGAACUGGUUUCUGGAAGCUGUGUGAGUGCAUACGUGUUCCUUGGAUAAAAAUAAGGAUGGCAGGAUACAAUGAGAAGACCUGCCUUCUGCAAACCCGGAGGCAAGCCCUCAUCAGACACCAGGUCUGCUGCCACCAUGAUGUUGGACUGCUCAGCCUCCAGAACUAUGGUGUCAGAAGUGGGAUCCCAAGCAGAGCUUCUAGGGACCCCCAGGAGUGCCAAGUGAACAUGCAAGCUACCUUCAGGACCCACUUGUGUCCAUGGAUCUCUCAAAGCAGCUGAGGAUUGUGGGGCAACCAUCUUGUCCAGAGACCACGUAUUGAAACUCCUAGACUGAGGUUGGAUUAAAGAUGAUGGGGCCCCCAGUGCAAAAACAUACCAAAUUGUAAAGGCUAUCAACACUAUGAAGAAACUUCAUCAACUAAUGAGCAAAAUAACCAGCUAGCAUCAUAAUAACAGGAUCAAAUUCACACAUAACAAUAUUAGCCUUAAAUGUAAAUGGGCUAAAGGGCCCAAUUAAAAGACACAGACUGGCAAAUUGGAUAGAGUCAAGACCCAUCAGUGUACUGUAUUCAGGAGACCCAUCUCAUGUGCAAACACACACAUAGGCUCAAAAUAAAGGGAUCGAGGAAUAUUUACCAAGCAAGUGGAAAGCAAUAAAAAAAGCAAGGGUUACAAUCCUAGUCUCUGAUAAAAUAGACUUUAAAACAACAAAGAUCAAAAGAGACAAAAAAGGGCAUUACAUAAUGGUAAAAGGAUCAAUGCAACAAGAAGAGCUAACUAUCCUAAAAAUAUGUGUACACAAUACAAGAGCACCCAAAUUCAUAAAGCAAGUCCUUAUAGACAUACAAAGAGACUUAGACUCUCACACAAUCAUAGUGGGAGAUUUUAACACCCCACGAUGAAUAUUAGACAGAUCGGUGAGACAGAUAAUUAACAAGGAUAUUCAGGACUUGAACUCAGCUCUAGACCAAGCAGACCUAACAGACAUCUACAGAACUCUCCACCACAAAUCAACAGACUAUACAUUCUUCUCAGCACCACAUCACACUUAUUCUAAAAUUGAUCACAUAAUUGGAAGUAAAACACUCCUCAGCAAAUGUAAAAGAAUAGAAAUCAUAAAAAGGUCUUUCAGACCACAGUGCAAUCAAAUUAGAACUCAGGAUUAAGAAACUCACUCAAAAUCACACAACUACAUGGAAACUGAAAACCUGCUCCUGAAUGACUACUGGGUAAAUAACGAAAUUAAUGUAGAAAUAAAGAUGUUCUUUGAAACCAAUGAGAAAAAAGACACAACAUACCAGAACCUCUGGGACACAUUUAAAGCAGUGUGUAGAGGGAAAUUUAUAGCACUAAAUGCCCACAAGAGAAAGCAGGAAAUAUCUAAAGUUUACACUCUAACAUCACAUUGAAAAGAACUAGAGAAGCAAGAGCAAACAAACUCAAAAGCCAGCAGAAUACAAAAGACAAGAAAUAGCUAACAACAGAGCCAAACUGAAGGAGAUAAAGACACAAAAAACCCUUCAAAAAAAUCAA
ensembl:lncRNA RBMS3-AS3 RBMS3 antisense RNA 3